GGGGAAUAUUGGACAAUGGGCGCAAGCCUGAUCCAGCAAUACCGCGUGUGUGAAGAAGGCCCUAGGGUUGUAAAGCACUUUCAAUUGGGAGGAAAACCUGCCGGUCAAUACCCGGCAGCUUGACAUUACCUUUAGAAGAAGCACCGGCUAACUCCGUGCCAGCAGCCGCGGUAAUACGGAGGGUGCAAGCGUUAAUCGGAAUUACUGGGCGUAAAGCGUGCGUAGGCGGUUCGUUAAGUCAGAUGUGAAAGCCCCGGGCUUAACCUGGGAACUGCAUUUGAAACUGGCGGACUAGAGUUGAGUAGAGGGGAGUGGAAUUUCAGGUGUAGCGGUGAAAUGCGUAGAUAUCUGAAGGAACACCAGUGGCGAAGGCGACUCCCUGGACUCAAACUGACGCUGAGGUACGAAAGCGUGGGUAGCAAAC
rnacentral:rRNA from 1 species